GACUCCUGAAUAUUAGAGUUAGACCUAAAGACCAUGUCAAACUAUAAAAUGGUGAUGAUAAUAACAGCUUCAAAUACAUAAAAGCCACUUAAUUCUCAUGCUAAUCUUAUCAUUAUUUAGAAUUAUUACCACUAUUUUGCUGAUGAGGUAAUUGAGACAUAGAGAAAGUAACUUGACUGAAAUCACAUGGCCAGCAGGUAGCAGAGCUGAAUUUGAACUGAAUCUGUCUCCAGAGCUGAGCUGGUGUCAAGGCAUCCAAGGGAAUCUCAGCUGUUUGUAGAGACCUGCGAAAUCAGACACUGCCAUAACUGUUUGAGAAGAGACAUGGGAUUGAAGACUCAAAGACAAAGACAGAUGCAUAAAAUUGCAGUGAAAGGUGAAAGUAAAAUCAGAAUAAGGGAAAAGUGGAACCAGAUAUGAGGCUCUAAUAUAAACUCUAAUUACCUAUAUGUUUUCUGAGAUUGGACCACAAAUGCAACUCUCAGCUUUGUAGCAGCCAACUCAAAAAGAGACAGCCUUCCUUUUGAUCAGAACUUCACAAUGGCUAUGAGAUCAAUCAUCUGAACAACUAUUUUGGAGAAGAAUGACUAAUUUUUGUUUUAUAAAAAUAAAAAUAGCCUCGUUUUGCUUUUA